GCAAACUUGGUCAUUUAGAGGAAGUAAAAGUCGUAACAAGGUUUCCGUAGGUGAACCUGCGGAAGGAUCAUUACAAAUUAUGGUGAACCUCGUGAGAGCGAGGUUUUCGCAUCCAUUAUUUUCGUAUUUAAAACAUCCACUCUUAAAAGAUUUAAUGAUAAAAUUAAAAAAAAAAAGAUCACUUUCAACAACGGAUCUCUUGGCUCUCGCAUCGAUGAAGAACGCAGC
rnacentral:misc_RNA from 1 species